UACGGAGGGUGCAAGCGUUAUCCGGAUUCACUGGGUUUAAAGGGUGCGUAGGCGGGUUGGUAAGUCCGUGGUGAAAUCCCCAAGCUUAACUUGGGAACUGCCGUGGAUACUAUCAAUCUUGAAUAUCGUGGAGGUAAGCGGAAUAUGUCAUGUAGCGGUGAAAUGCGUAGAUACUGGGAGGAACACCGGUGGCGAAGGCGGCUACCUGGACGGGUACUGACGCUGAGGCGCGAAAGCUAGGGGAGCAAACAGG
rnacentral:rRNA from 1 species